rnacentral:rRNA from 1 species
AUUGAACGCUGGCGGCAGGCCUAACACAUGCAAGUCGAACGAGUGCCGGACGGGUGAGUAAUGUCUGGGAAACUGCCUGAUGGAGGGGGAUAACUACUGGAAACGGUGGCUAAUACCGCAUACCGUCAGAUCAGCCCAGGUGGGAGUAGCUUGUUGGUGGGGUAACGGCGCACCAAGGCGACGAUCCCUAGCUGGUCUGAGAGGAUGAACGUCCACACUGGAACUGAGACACGGUCCAGAUGCCUACGGGAGGCAGCAGUGGGGAAUAUUGCACAAUGGGCGCAAGCCUGAUGCAGCCAUGCCGCGUGUAUGAAGAAGGCCUUCGGGUUGUAAAGUACUUUCAGCGGGGAGGCGUUACCCGCAGAAGAAGCACCGGCUAACUCCGUGCCAGCAGCCGCGGUAAUAC